rnacentral:rRNA from 1 species
GACGAACGCUGGCGGCGUGCUUAACACAUGCAAGUCGAACGGAAAGGCCCUGCUUUUGUGGGGUGCUCGAGUGGCGAACGGGUGAGUAACACGUGAGUAACCUGCCCUUGACUUUGGGAUAACUUCAGGAAACUGGGGCUAAUACCGGAUAGGAGCUCCUGCUGCAUGGUGGGGGUUGGAAAGUUUCGGCGGUUGGGGAUGGACUCGCGGCUUAUCAGCUUGUUGGUGGGGUAGUGGCUUACCAAGGCUUUGACGGGUAGCCGGCCUGAGAGGGUGACCGGCCACAUUAGGACUGAGAUACGGCCCAGACUCCUACGGGAGGCAGCAGUGGGGAGUAUUGCACAAUGGGCGGAAGCCUGAUGCAGCAACGCCGCGUGCGGGAUGACGGCCUUCGGGUUGUAAACCGCUUUCGCCUGUGACGAAGCGUGAGUGACGGUAAUGGGUAAAGAAGCACCGGCUAACUACGUG